CAGGACGAACGCUGGCGGCGUGCCUAAUACAUGCAAGUCGAGCGAAUUUUUGGGAGCUUGCUCCCAAAAGUUAGCGGCGGACGGGUGAGUAACACGUGGGCAACCUGCCUGUAAGACGGGGAUAACUUCGGGAAACCGGAGUUAAUACCGGAUAAUUCUUUUCUACCCAUGUAGAGAAGCUGAAAGAUGGCUUUGGCUAUCACUUACAGAUGGGCCCGCGGCGCAUUAGCUAGUUGGUGAGGUAACGGCUCACCAAGGCAACGAUGCGUAGCCGACCUGAGAGGGUGAUCGGCCACACUGGGACUGAGACACGGCCCAGACUCCUACGGGAGGCAGCAGUAGGGAAUCUUCCGCAAUGGACGAAAGUCUGACGGAGCAACGCCGCGUGAGUGAUGAAGGUUUUCGGAUCGUAAAACUCUGUUGUUAGGGAAGAACAAGUACCGUUCGAAUAGGGCGGUACCUUGACGGUACCUAACCAGAAAGCCACGGCUAACUACGUGCCAGCAGCCGCGGUAAUACGUAGGUGGCAAGCGUUGUCCGGAAUCAUUGGGCGUAAAGCGCGCGCAGGUGGUUCCUUAAGUCUGAUGUGAAAGCCCCCGGCUCAACCGGGGAGGGUCAUUGGAAACUGGGGAACUUGAGUGCAGAAGAGGAAAGUGGAAUUCCACGUGUAGCGGUGAAAUGCGUAGAGAUGUGGAGGAACACCAGUGGCGAAGGCGACUUUCUGGUCUGUAACUGACACUGAGGCGCGAAAGCGUGGGGAGCGAACAGGAUUAGAUACCCUGGUAGUCCACGCCGUAAACGAUGAGUGCUAAGUGUUAGGGGGUUUCCGCCCCUUAGUGCUGCAGCAAACG
rnacentral:rRNA from 1 species